GAUGAACGCUGGCGGCGUGCCUAAUACAUGCAAGUCGAGCGAACGGACGAGGAGCUUGCUCCUCUGACGUUAGCGGCGGACGGGUGAGUAACACGUGGAUAACCUACCUAUAAGACUGGGAUAACUUCGGGAAACCGGAGCUAAUACCGGAUAAUAUAUUGAACCGCAUGGUUCAAUAGUGAAAGACGGUCUUGCUGUCACUUAUAGAUGGAUCCGCGCUGCAUUAGCUAGUUGGUAAGGUAACGGCUUACCAAGGCAACGAUGCGUAGCCGACCUGAGAGGGUGAUCGGCCACACUGGAACUGAGACACGGUCCAGACUCCUACGGGAGGCAGCAGUAGGGAAUCUUCCGCAAUGGGCGAAAGCCUGACGGAGCAACGCCGCGUGAGUGAUGAAGGUCUUCGGAUCGUAAAACUCUGUUAUUAGGGAAGAACAAAUGUGUAAGUAACUAUGCACAUCUUGACGGUACCUAAUCAGAAAGCCACGGCUAACUACGUG
rnacentral:rRNA from 1 species